rnacentral:rRNA from 1 species
CCUACGGGGGGCAGCAGUAGGGAAUCUUCGGCAAUGGACGAAAGUCUGACCGAGCAACGCCGCGUGAGUGAAGAAGGUCUUCGGAUCGUAAAACUCUGUUGGUAGAGAAGAACGUUGGUGAGAGUGGAAAGCUCAUCAAGUGACGGUAACUACCAAGAAAGGGACGGCUAACUACGUGCCAGCAGCCGCGGUAAUACGUAGGUCCCGAGCGUUGUGCGGAUGUCUGGGGCGGAAAGCGAGAGCAGGUGGUUUAUGAAGUCAGGUGUAGAAGGCAGUGGCUCAACCAUUGUAUGCAUUGGGAACUGGUAGACUUGAGUGCAGGAGAGGAGAGUGGAAUUCCAUGUGUAGCGGUUAAAUGCGUAGGUAUAUGGAGGAACACCGGUGGCGAAAGCCUCUCUCUGGCCUGUAACUGACACUGAUGCUCGAAAGCGUGGGUAGCAAACAGGAUUAGAUACCCUAGUAGUC